rnacentral:rRNA from 1 species
GAUGAACGCUGGCGGCAGGCCUAACACAUGCAAGUCGGACGGUAGCACAGAGAGCUUGCUCUUGGGUGACGAGUGGCGGACGGGUGAGUAAUGUCUGGGGAUCUGCCCGAUAGAGGGGGAUAACCACUGGAAACGGUGGCUAGUACCGCAUAACGUCGCAAGACCAAAGAGGGGGACCUUCGGGCCUCUCACUAUCGGAUGAACCCAGAUGGGAUUAGCUAGUAGGCGGGGUAAGGGCCCACCUAGGCGACGAUCCCGAGCUGGUCUGAGAGGAUGACCAGCCACACUGGAACUGAGAAACGGUCCAGACUCCUACGGGAGGCAGCAGUGGGGAAUAUUGCACAAUGGGCGCAAGCCUGAUGCAGCCAUGCCGCGUGUAUGAAGAAGGCCUUCGGGUUGUAAAGUACUUUCAGCGGGGAGGAAGGCGGUGAGGUUAAUAACCUUGCCGAUUGACGUUACCCGCAGAAGAAGCACCGGCUAACUCCGUGCCAGCCGCCGCAGUAA